rnacentral:rRNA from 1 species
CCUACGGGCGGCAGCAGUGAGGAAUAUUGGUCAAUGGACGAGAGUCUGAACCAGCCAAGUAGCGUGAAGGAUGACUGCCCUAUGGGUUGUAAACUUCUUUUAUAUGGGAAUAAAAUGUUCCACGUGUGGGAUUUUGUAUGUACCAUAUGAAUAAGGAUCGGCUAACUCCGUGCCAGCAGCCGCGGUAAUACGGAGGAUCCGAGCGUUAUCCGGAUUUAUUGGGUUUAAAGGGAGCGUAGGUGGCUUGUUAAGUCAGUUGUGAAAGUUUGCGGCUCAACCGUAAAAUUGCAGUUGAAACUGGCAGUCUUGAGUACAGUAGAGGUGGGCGGAAUUCGUGGUGUAGCGGUGAAAUGCUUAGAUAUCACGCAGAACUCCGAUUGCGAAGGCAGUUCACUGGACUGCAACUGACACUGAGGCUCGAACGUGUGGGUAUCAAACAGGAUUAGAUACCCCGGUAGUC